CCUACGGGAGGCUGCAGUGAGGAAUAUUGGACAAUGGACGAAAGUCUGAUCCAGCCAUGCCGCGUGCAGGAUGACGGCCCUAUGGGUUGUAAACUGCUUUUAUACAGGAAGAAACACUCCCACGUGUGGGGGCUUGACGGUACUGUACGAAUAAGGAUCGGCUAACUCCGUGCCAGCAGCCGCGGUAAUACGGAGGAUCCAAGCGUUAUCCGGAAUUAUUGGGUUUAAAGGGUCCGCAGGCGGUCUAUUAAGUCAGAGGUGAAAUCUUGCAGCUCAACUGUAAAAUUGCCUUUGAUACUGGUAGACUUGAGUCAUUGUGAAGUGGUUAGAAUGUGUGGUGUAGCGGUGAAAUGCAUAGAUAUCACACAGAAUACCAAUUGCGAAGGCAGAUCACUAACAAUGUACUGACGCUCAUGGACGAAAGCGUGGGGAGCGAACAGGAUUAGAUACCCUAGUAGUC
rnacentral:rRNA from 1 species